rnacentral:rRNA from 1 species
GACGAACGCUGGCGGCGUGCCUAAUACAUGCAAGUAGAACGCAGUUGCGCACGGGUGAGUAACGCGUAGGUAACUACAUGGCAACGGGGGAUAACUAUUUGAAACAAUAGCUAAUACCGCAUACUACCCGAUGGACAUGCGUUGUAUUAGCUAGUUGGUGGGGUAACGGCUCACCAAGGCAACGAUACAUAGCCGAACUGAGAGGGUGAUCGGCCACACUGGGACUGGGACACGGCCCAGACUCCUACGGGAGGCAGCAGUAGGGAAUCUUCGGCAAUGGACGGAAGUCUGACCGAGCAACGCCGCGUGAGUGAAGAAGGUUUUCGGAUCGUAAAGCUCUGUUGUAAGAGAAGCGGUAUCUUACCAGAAAGGGACGGCUAACUACGUGCCAGCAGCCGCGGUAAUAC